CUGAUGGAGUAAUUUACUGGGUCACAUUCAACUCUGAACACCGCCAGUCUCUAAUGAAGUUUUGUUACUACAUGAUGCUAAGAGGAGCAGCUAAGACAAUAAUUUCAUUUACGGUGCUAGUUUAGACAUACGCUUGUAUUGAGACUUGUUUAGAUGAAAUGCGCGUGCUAGUGAAAAUCAAGUUAAACCAGAAUCAUGGUUUCGAAAUAGAGUAAAGCAACAACCAUAAUGGCGGAUGAAUACAUAAAUUGGUGUUUAUAUGUACAAAGUUAGCUACCGGUAUUUAAACGGAUUACAACUGAAUGAAGACUUCACUCAGCUAACAGAAGUCAGAGGACAAUAUUUGUCUGCAGGCUUAGCCAGACUUUCGACCUCUUCAAGUCGGUUGUUCUAUUUACAUUUUUAAGCUUAAACUAUUAAAACUUAACAAGGAAAUCAGUUAUAGGAUGUUGACCCAGCUAAGCCGAGGCCACAAGGCGUUGAAAAUGCUGGCCUUCAUGGGUGUCACUCUUUGCCUUCUCUUGACUCUGUCACCCCAUUCCGCUGAGGCGACGCCGGGAUCCAGGGACUGGCCAACCGACGCAGUGUUGACUCCGGCCAGCAGCGUGGAGCUUAUGGAGCUGCAGGAAGACGAGGCGCCUCACAGGCUCCGCCGAUCUGCGGAUGGUCCUAACAACAGUGACCUCAUGACUCAGUCGGAUAUCUUCUUAAUGGAAAGAGAGAGAAUGUCGAGAGAAGAGUUUAUGAAUAUGCUGAAUGAAAUGGGAAAAUGAAACAAUCAACUUUUAUUUCGACUUAAAGCUACGUCACAUUUUACAUUAGAUUAUUUUCGCAUUUAUAUCAAACCGAUUUAUUUUAACACUUAGGGCGACAACAUGGGGUUUGUGCAAAGGAAAAAUUCUUGUCUAUUUUAAAAUUUCUUGAAAGUAAAUAUAUUAUUAAAAAAAAAUAUUGGUACCAGUA